rnacentral:rRNA from 1 species
CGGUGGAGCAUGUGGUUUAAUUCGAAGCAACGCGAAGAAACCUUACCAGGUCUUGACAUCCCGAUGCUAUUUCUAGAGAUAGAAAGUUACUUCGGUACAUCGGUGGACAGGUGGUGCAUGGUUGUCGUCAGCUCGUGUCGUGAGAUGUUGGGUUAAGUCCCGCAACGAGCGCAACCCCUAUUGUUAGUUGCCAUCAUUCAGUUGGGCACUCUAGCGAGACUGCCGGUAAUAAACCGGAGGAAGGUGGGGAUGACGUCAAAUCAUCAUGCCCCUUAUGACCUGGGCUACACACGUGCUACAAUGGUUGGUACAACGAGUUGCGAGUCGGUGACGGCGAGCUAAUCUCUUAAAGCCAAUCUCAGUUCGGAUUGUAGGCUGCAACUCGCCUACAUGAAGUCGGAAUCGCUAGUAAUCGCGGAUCAGCACGCCGCGGUGAAUACGUUCCCGGGCCCUU